AUGGAAGAAGAUUUGGCGCUUGAAUUCGUUGAAUUGAAUUUCAGAACAUUUACAAGAGGAUACAAAGGCACAUGGAAGAAGAUUUGGCCACAUAAAAGUCCUACUUCAACAGAAAGAAGAAUCACUAUUUCCCCAUCAAAAAUCUCAUUCCUUCCUGAUCAGAGGACACGAGGACACAUGGAAGAAGAUUUGGUGCUUGAAUUCAUUGAAUUGAAUUUCGGAAUAUUUACAAGAGGAUACGAGGACACGUGGAAGAAGUUUUAG